rnacentral:lncRNA from 1 species
AAAUAAAAAAUUACCUGGUUUGGUUGUUCAAACAAACGUGACCAAUUAACAUUGCCAAUACAUGAUUGUUGAUCAUUCUGAUUAUCUGUCCAAGUACAAAACUAUGCUAACAAGAAAAUACACAUGAGCAUAUAGAAAGUACUUGAAAAUGUUUCAGAGUGUAACUGUUUGAGGUCUGAGGUUAUCUAUCCUGUUCAAUGCGGC